rnacentral:lncRNA from 1 species
AUGGAUGAAACUGAUUCAUUCUCUGCUGUCCACGCAGGCAGUAAAAGACUCCCUAAACCCAAGGGGCUCAGGGGAAAUCAACUCUCCCGAGCUGCUGGGAAGAGCCAGACCUCCCACCCCGGAUGGGAGCAAACCUUUCCCUGCCCGCCCCGAGCCCCGCAUCACAAAGCUGCUGCAGGUGAACGCCUCACCAACGUUGCCUGGCAUCAGCCACACCCCUGGCACCAGCCACGGGCACCCCGAGCCAAACGCCCUGGUCCCAGCAAGCCCACAGGAUCCAGAGAGGAGAACGUACCCAUUACAGCACCCAUCGCAAGAGCUACUCCAGCCUGGAGGUCUACGGGGAGAGCCUCAAUGCAUCUCUUCCAGCGAAUGCUACAGCCGAGUCCUGGAGACAUGGUGAGGGGCGCGGGGGGAGCCAGGGCUUUGGGCUCAGCACCAAUUCUGAAUGAAUGGGACCCUUCCGCGUGGGAAGCGCCGGCGAGCCAGCCGUCAAAGCCCCAGCUGCCUGGGCUGCGUGCUCUGCUAAUUAAGAGUCUGACAGAAAGGUAG